GACGAACGCUGGCGGCGUGCUUAACACAUGCAAGUCGAACGCUGAAGCUCAGCUUUUGUUGGGUGGAUGAGUGGCGAACGGGUGAGUAACACGUGAGUAACCUGCCCCCUUCUUUGGGAUAACGCCCGGAAACGGGUGCUAAUACUGGAUAUUCACUGGUCUUCGCAUGGGGGUUGGUGGAAAGGGUUUUUCUGGUGGGAGAUGGGCUCGCGGCCUAUCAGCUUGUUGGUGGGGUGAUGGCCUACCAAGGCUUUGACGGGUAGCCGGCCUGAGAGGGUGACCGGUCACAUUGGGACUGAGAUACGGCCCAGACUCCUACGGGAGGCAGCAGUGGGGAAUAUUGCACAAUGGGCGCAAGCCUGAUGCAGCGACGCCGCGUGAGGGAUGGAGGCCUUCGGGUUGUGAACCUCUUUCGCUCAUGGUCAAGCCGCAACAAUGGUUGUGGUGAGGGUAGUGGGUAAAGAAGCGCCGGCUAACUACGUG
rnacentral:rRNA from 1 species